CGAAAGCCUGACGGAGCAACGCCGCGUGAGGGAUGAAGGCCUUUGGGCUGUAAACCUCUUUUCUCAAGGAAGAAGAUCUGACGGUACUUGAGGAAUAAGCCACGGCUAAUUCCGUGCCAGCAGCCGCGGUAAUACGGGAGUGGCAAGCGUUAUCCGGAAUUAUUGGGCGUAAAGCGUCCGCAGGCGGCCGUUUAGGUCUGUUGUUAAAUCGUGGAGCUCAACUCCAUCACGGCAAUGGAAACUGUUCGGCUUGAGUAUGGUAGGGGCAGAGGGAAUUUCCGGUGUAGCGGUGAAAUGCGUAGAUAUCGGGAAGAACACCAGUGGCGAAAGCGCUCUGCUGGACCAUUACUGACGCUCAUGGACGAAAGCCAGGGGAGCGAAAGGGAUUAGAUACCCCUGUAGUCCUGGCCGUAAACGAUGAACACUAGAUGUUGGGGGAAUCGACCCCCUCGGUGUCGUAGCUAACGCGUUAAGUGUUCCGCCUGGGGAGUACGCACGCAAGUGUGAAACUCAAAGGAAUUGACGGGGGCCCGCACAAGCGGUGGAGUAUGUGGUUUAAUUCGAUGCAACGCGAAGAACCUUACCAAGGCUUGACAUCCUGCGAAUCUCCGAGAAAUUGGAGAGUGCCUUCGGGAACGCAGUGACAGGUGGUGCAUGGCUGUCGUCAGCUCGUGUCGUGAGAUGUUGGGUUAAGUCCCGCAACGAGCGCAACCCACGUUUUUAGUUGCCAGCAUUCAGUUGGGCACUCUAGAAAGACUGCCGGUGACAAACCGGAGGAAGGUGUGGACGACGUCAAGUCAUCAUGCCCCUUACGCCUUGGGCUACACACGUACUACAAUGCUGCGGACAAAGAGUAGCGAUCUUGCGAAAGUUAGCUAAUCUCGUAAACCGUGGCUCAGUUCAGAUCGUAGGCUGCAACUCGCCUACGUGAAGGAGGAAUCGCUAGUAAUCGCAGGUCAGCAUACUGCGGUGAAUACGUUCCCGGGCCUUGUACACACCGCCCGUCACACCAUGGAAGUUGGCCAUGCCCGAAGUCGUUACUCUAACCUUUUGGAAGAGGGCGCCGAAGGCAGGGCUGAUGACUGGGGUGAAGUCGUAACAAGGUAGCCGUAGCGGAAGCUGCGGCUGGAUCACCUCCUAA
rnacentral:rRNA from 1 species